rnacentral:rRNA from 1 species
AUUGAACGCUGGCGGCAGCUUAACACAUGCAAGUCGAGCGGGGGAAGGUAGCUUGCUACCGGACCUAGCGGCGGACGGGUGAGUAAUGCUUAGGAAUCUGCCUAUUAGUGGGGGACAACAUCUCGAAAGGGAUGCUAAUACCGCAUACGUCCUAUGGGAGAAAGCAGGGGAUCUUCGGACCUUGCGCUAAUAGAUGAGCCUAAGUCGGAUUAGCUAGUUGGUGGGGUAAAGGCCUACCAAGGCGACGAUCUGUAGCGGGUCUGAGAGGAUGAUCCGCCACACUGGGACUGAGACACGGCCCAGACUCCUACGGGAGGCAGCAGUGGGGAAUAUUGGACAAUGGGGGGAACCCUGAUCCAGCCAUGCCGCGUGUGUGAAGAAGGCCUUAUGGUUGUAAAGCACUUUAAGCGAGGAGGAGGCUACUCUAGUUAAUACCUAGGGAUAGUGGACGUUACUCGCAGAAUAAGCACCGGCUAACUCUGUGCCAGCCGCCGCGGUAA